rnacentral:lncRNA from 1 species
UGGAGGACGGGGAUAGACGGCCGGGCCCGAACCUCAUGAUAAAUAUUUUCAAGGGGUGGGACCCGGAUUCGAAUCCGUUCCUCCAGACUGGAAAGGCGAAGCGUUACCACGCAGCCAAUCGCUCUUGAUUACUACUAGGAAGUCAUGGUUAGCAUGUGCGAGAAGUCCGCGAUUACGUCGACUGUACUAGCACGUAAUCUUUACACCUAUUAUUUUUUUGUCAGUGACAUACAUGGCCAGGUUUUCAUUCCUUCAGACUUGUUACUGGUGAUGCUUGCGAAAUUUAUGCACGAAUCAGUAUCGGUUCUAAAGCUUUUAACAUCUCGAGCGAAAAUUUUUGUUACGCCGCCUUCAAUCGUCAGUUUUGAACGGUGAGCGGACCGGAUGGCCACUCACCGUUUAAAUUAUGUGUAAAAAAUAAUUGUGUCUUACUACGGUAAUAAUAAUAAUAACAACAAAACACAAAAUGCGCC